ACACUGGAUUAUAGCACCAAAACUGCAGUUCUCAGAUCUACCCUUCCCUUCCCUGCACUUGAGCUCUUUUGAACCCAUGAGCUUUCUUCUGAGCUCUGCUAAGAGAUGGCUGAUGGGAGAGGAGUCUAAAGCUGGCUGAUCAUGACCCCAGAAAUGAUACAGCAUCAUGUGAGGAACUCAUGUUUAAUUUGUUAUCUAUUGUCAGCCAUGAGGUUUUCCAGUACUGCAACUUUCCAGAGUCCAUCCUGGAAUUUCAGAGCUAUCACUGAAGGCUGGACAAGAGCAUUGUGGGAUGGUGCUGGAAGGACCAACUGCACCUGUCUUCAGGAGUGCAGCUGAAGCCAGUACAAGACCCAGUGACUUGCUCAGAGAAAAUGCAAUUGCAACAGCAGUUAGUGGGGCACUUCCAAAGAGUGGGCAAGACCAAGCCCUACUUAAAAUGAGCAACCCUCAACCCCUGCAUAUGAAUUAGGUGCAAGGGACCAGGGAGUGGUCCACCCCACAAGGAACUGGGGAGACUGACAGCCAGACUCCAGUGCCUGCAGUAACAGAUUCGGAUUUGUAAUGUAAAAGUUGGCAUUCUUUCAUCCUUAUGAAGGCAGUGGGGUCAGAUGCCAGCCUCCAUAGGACUCGUGAGCAAAGAUAGCUGGAUGAUGCUUUCUCUCUCCUGCAGAACUCUUCAGUCCUUAGUAAUUCCCUUAACAUUCCCUUAACAGCAUGCAUUUUACAUCACAUAUCUAUUAUUCAAACAUGUUUUGUUUAAGGCCCUUUGCCUGCUGUUUAUAAAAGCUUUGAUCACGUAGGUAAAACUCCCGUUUGCCUCCUGCAUGGAUCCAUAUUUAGCUUUGUUAUUCCCAAAGUACACGAUUAACUUCACUCAUUGCAAAGGAGCAUCACCACAUUGACAAUGUAGUCAUGAAUAAGAAUUUGUCCCUAUGCUACCAGAAGGCUGGUUGCUAACAGUUUUAACAGGCACUUAAGAAAGUUAAAUAGGCAGAAGUAUGGUUACAAAAUAAAACACACACA